AUUGAACGCUGGCGGCAUGCUUUACACAUGCAAGUCGAACGGUAACAGGUUAAGCUGACGAGUGGCGAACGGGUGAGUAAUGCAUCGGAACGUGCCCGAUCGUGGGGGAUAACACUUCGAAAGAAGUGCUAAUACCGCAUACGAUCUGAGGAUGAAAGCGGGGGACCGUAAGGCCUCGCGCGAUCGGAGCGGCCGAUGUCAGAUUAGGUAGUUGGUGGGGUAAAGGCCUACCAAGCCGACGAUCUGUAGCUGGUCUGAGAGGACGACCAGCCACACUGGGACUGAGACACGGCCCAGACUCCGACGGGAGGCGGCAGUGGGGAAUUUUGGACAAUGGGCGCAAGCCUGAGCCAGCAAUGCCGCGUGCAGGAAGAAGGCCUUCGGGUUGUAAACUGCUUUUGUACGGAGCGAAAAGGCUCUCUCUAAUACAGGGGGCUGAUGACGGUACCGUAAGAAUAAGCACCGGCUAACUACGUGCCAGCCGCCGCCGUAA
rnacentral:rRNA from 1 species